rnacentral:rRNA from 1 species
AACCAGCCGGCACCAUCCGGUAAGGCUAAAUACUCCUGAGAGACCGAUAGUGAACCAGUACCGUGAGGGAAAGGUGAAAAGUACCCCGGAAGGGGAGUGAAAGAGAACUUGAAACCGUGUGCUUACAAGUAGUCAGAGCCCGUUAAUGGGUGAUGGCGUGCCUUUUGUAGAAUGAACCGGCGAGUUACGAUCUGAUGCAAGGUUAAGCAGAAAAUGUGGAGCCGUAGCGAAAGCGAGUCUGAAUAGGGCGUAUAGUAUUUGGUCGUAGACCCGAAACCAGGUGAUCUACCCAUGGUCAGGUUGAAGUUCAGGUAACACUGAAUGGAGGACCGAACCGACUUACGUUGAAAAGUGAGCGGAUGAACUGUGGGUAGCGGAGAAAUUCCAAUCGAACUUGGAGAUAGCUGGUUCUCUCCGAAAUAGCUUUAGGGCUAGCCUCAAGUGAUGAUUAUUGGAGGUAGAGCACUGUUUGGACGAGGGGCCCCUCUCGGGUUACCGAAUUCAGACAAACUCCGAAUGCCAAUUAAUUUAACUUGGGAGUCAGAACAUGGGUGAUAAGGUCCGUGUUCGAAAGGGAAACAGCCCAGACCACCAGCUAAGGUCCCAAAAUAUAUGUUAAGUGGAAAAGGAUGUGGCGUUGCCCAGACAACUAGGAUGUUGGCUUAGAAGCAGCCAUCAUUUAAAGAAAGCGUAA